rnacentral:rRNA from 1 species
GGAAAAGAAACCAACAGGGAUUGCCCUAGUAACGGCGAGUGAAGCGGCAACAGCUCAAAUUUGAAAUCUGGCUUUCGGGUCCGAGUUGUAAUUUGUAGAGGAUGCUUUUGGUUAGGUACCUUCCGAGUUCCUUGGAACAGGACGCCUUAGAGGGUGAGAGCCCCGUACGGUUGGAUGCCGAGCCUCUGUAAAGCUCCUUCGACGAGUCGAGUAGUUUGGGAAUGCUGCUCUAAAUGGGAGGUAAAUUUCUUCUAAAGCUAAAUACCGGCCAGAGACCGAUAGCGCACAAGUAGAGUGAUCGAAAGAUGAAAAGCACUUUGAAAAGAGGGUUAAAUAGUACGUGAAAUUGUUGAAAGGGAAGGGCUUGUGACCAGACCUUUGCCUUGCGGAUCAUCCGGUGUUCUCACCGGUGCACUCCGCUUGGUUGAGGCCAGCAUCAGUUCUGGCGGCGGGAUAAAGACUUCAGGAAUGUGACUCCCCCGGGAGUGUUAUAGCCUGUUGUGUAAUACCGCCACUGGGACUGAGGACCGCGCUUCGGCUAGGAUGCUGGCAUAAUGGUCAUCAGCCACCCGUCUUGAAACACGGACCAAGGAGUCGAACAUUUAUGCGAGUUUUUGGGUGUUAAACCCUCAAGCGUAAUGAAAGUGAACGGAGGUGAGAGCCCUUACGGGUGCAUCAUCGACCGAUCCUGAUGUCUUCGGAUGGAUUUGAGUAAGAGCAUAACUGUUCGGACCCGAAAGAUGGUGAACUAUGCGUGGAUAGGGUGAAGCCAGAGGAAACUCUGGUGGAGGCUCGCAGCGGUUCUGACGUGCAAAUCGAUCGUCAAAUCUGCGCAUGGGGGCGAAAGACUAAUCG